rnacentral:rRNA from 1 species
AGCGAACGCUGGCGGAAUGCUUAACACAUGCAAGUCGUACGGGCAGCUUCGGCUGUCAGUGGCGGACGGGUGAGUAACGCGUAGGAACGGGUCCUGUGAUGGGGGAUAACGCUGGGAAACUGGCGCUAAUACCGCAUAUGGCCUGAGGGUCAAAGACGCGAGGAGUCAUGGGAGCGGCCUUCGUCCGAUUAGGUAGUUGGUGGGGUAAAGGCCUACCAAGCCUACGAUCGGUAGCUGGUCUGAGAGGAUGAUCAGCCACACUGGGACUGAGACACGGCCCAGACUCCUACGGGAGGCAGCAGUGGGGAAUAUUGGACAAUGGGCGCAAGCCUGAUCCAGCAAUUCCGCGUGGGUGAAGAAGGUCUUCGGAUUGUAAAGCCCUUUCGGCAGGGACGAUGAUGACGGUACCUGCAGAAGAAGCCCCAGCUAACUUCGUGCCAGCAGCCGCCGUAAUAC